UGGCUUCGGCACGCUGAUUACUGCGUGUUGACGGGGAACCCCAGCCUGAGGGACGGCUUUGCCGGCACCAAACGCUGCGCCCUCGCAGAGGUGCUGCGACCCGGCGCUCACGCCUGGGCGCUGCUCGCUGCGGGCACCUCGUCGGAUUAGAGAAGAGCUGCACAAAAUACUUUGGCUUCCUGCCUUCCUACCCCUGCUCCUCCGGGGAGCACCAGGGUGGGAGGAGGGGGAAAAAAUAAGAAUGCAAGAGCAAGCCUUUCCCUGCCAGGCUCACGCGGCGCUGCCGAACGCCUGCUCUCCGGCCGGCCACAGGCACGGGCCGCAACUCACGUGGCGCACGGGGACGGGACCCCGAGGUGACCGCGAGGCCAGGUGCACAGCUCGCUGGUAGCCGUCGACGCACCCCACAUUCGCAGCAGCCGAGGGAGCUUCUGUGACUGAUUUCUACAGUGCUGCCCACCCCGCCGGGGCCGCGGGCUCCCCCUUCUCCCAGCCAGCCGGGUCUGCGGAGCUGCUCCCUGCCCCAUGCCGUCCUCAAAACGCAGCGCAAGCCACAUCGAAUUGCUCCACGAGACUUGGAAGAUCUUCUUGUAAAGCGAGAGGAUGCUUUUUGGGUCCAAAAGUUGAUCUGUGUCCUGACCUCUCAAACCGUAGCUGUGGCUUUAUGACAAAACAUCUAUUCAUCUCCAAGCAGAUUUAUUUUUAAGCGUCUCCUUGGCAAGCAUGAAUAAGUUUUGUUUAAUGGAUCCUGUUCCUGAGGCUAGCUGCAUUUUGUUCACUGCAAAAUCCAAAUAUAUUUGCCCGAAUUAUUACUCUUGAUAAUAGAAUGGUUGUGUUCAAGCUGCCGGGCAGACACAGAAGCAGGGGCAGCUCUUUCCCAAAGAAUUUAUGAUCAUCAGACUUUACAGUCUUGCAAAUAGUGAGCGUGUGCGACGACAAAUGAUCAGAACGAUGAGAUGCAUUGGGAAAGCCGCAGUUGCGAGCUAUGAGCCUGAUUUAGUGGGGCCUGAUGAAGUGGGCUCAGGAAAGGGGUGGGUGGGUGGUGGCAGCUGGAGACCUGCCAUGCCCUUUGGAGUGGCGACACUGCCGCACCGGCUGGGGAAGGCAACGCAGGCUCUUACCCCAGCUCUGAAGCUGCACAAGUCAGGUCGUGCCAGCGCAAGAUUCCUUUGGGAAACAGGCGGCUGGAAAACACUGACUCAGUGGAAAUGUUUGGGGAGAAGACCUGGAGUUGAUCAACAGCUUUGGAAGGAAAUUGCCUACCCGUUCAAUACAGUCACAGCAUUUCAUGUGGGCUUUAUAACUGAUAAAAUACAAACAUUUUGAUAAGAUCAGAAUUAGGUAUUUUGGAAUAGAUCAUUUAGACAAAAAUUCUACACUUCUCACUUUUUGCCUCAGUUUAGGAGAAAAGCCACAUACAAAACACUAGCAUUUCCCAGUGGUGGAAAUUCUGCUUUUUGGCCAGUCUUAGUGGCAAUAGAAAAGAGCAGUUCAGAAAAGCCCAUGAAAAAUCGUACAGAUGAGAUUUAUAGCCUUCUUUCUGGCUGCUUUGCUAACAGAGCAGCUGGGGAUUCCUCCUGAGCAGAGGAAUCGCUGGGUAGUUCAAGGCUCUUGUAGCCACAUCAACUUGACUGUCCCCUGGAGCAUGAGGGUGUGUGUGCAGAGCAGAUCGCGCUGUAGCAUUCCUCGGACAGCGGAGAAGUCCCCCGGGUGCUGUUCCUGCGAGCGCAGGGCUGCUCGUAGCCACAUUAGCGACUGCAUUCUGCGCCAAAUGGAGCUCAGACAGACACAAGGGUGGUUCCCCCAUCAUUCAGCGUUGGUCCUUUGAGCGAGGGAUGGGCUAGGGAGGCCAAAGUCUGAAUCUCUAAAAUUUAAACCAUAUGAUGUUUGGAUCCACGGUCAAUUUAAACUGAACUAAAUAACGAGGCAGGAGGAAGGUAGGGACAGAAAUGUUUGCUGCUUCGCCCCUUCUCUCAAAACCAGCCCCCCUCCCCCAGCAAUUCCCUUUAUCCCAGAGGCCUGAUCCUCCGGGACACUCAGACGUCCGCUUCAGCCACCUAAAGAAGCUGCUGUAGCAUCAGAAGUACCGGCUUCGCAGAGCCCACAGCCUCGAGGGACUUCACACGCGCAGACCCCAGCAGCCGCGGUCUGGUUGUUUUACAGCACGAACCCACCCAGCAUGAGCUGAUUUAUAGGACGAAGCCUCUGAAAGUAGGAGGGAUGUGGCCUAACAAGCCCCCCGGCUGCAGCACGGCUCCCUGCCUGCGAGGCUACAGCCGAGGCACAAGAAAGGCAGGACGUGCCUGGGGCUGGGGCUGGGGCUGGGGCUGGGGCUGACUCAGCUGCGCUCGCUCCCCUGCGCGCCGGGAGUGCCGCGGCCCGAAGCAGCUCACUACCCCACAGCGCGUGCCGUACUCUGGACUUUGGCUGUUGCUGAGAUGAAUUUAUAAGCUCAGAAGGGGUGUUACAGAAACAGCAGCCGCAGGGAAGGCAAUAGGAGUUGGCUUUGGAGCCAAGGACACCUGGGUUGAAGCCACAGCUUGGACAAAAUCUAAGAAAUCGCAGACCAGUCCUGAUGCCUCCCUAGGGCCCAGUCUGUGAACUGGAGCUGGCUGAACUUAGAGGGGCGGCACAUCAGAGAUUUGGAUAAGAAACAAAAUCAGGGUCCAGAGUGCAGUCUUACAAAUAAGAAAAGCUGCAUUUAGCAUGUAAAUAGGACCCCGAGAAAGCAUGGUACAGAUCCCCCUUUUGAGAGCCCAGAUCUUCAAGCACUACAAAGGACAUCAGCUAGGCAACAAAUGUUUUUAAGAGGGAAGCAAAGCAGAUGAGAUCUAAAGUGGGUAUGCCUUGUAUCUACCAGUCAAAAAGACAACGGAGCACAUGGGGAACAAGCUAUCAGGGACUGCAAAGCAGAAAAACACUAGAAUUGGAAAUAGGAUCCUUCUCUCAGGGCUGGUUGGCCGCAUCUCAGACACCAGUGCUGUUAUGAGAGUGGGAGAAAGGCUGGACUCGAACCGUGGAGGAGCCUGUCAGCCUCUUCGCUCCCACCACCCACGGUGGUCCUCCCAGGGGCUGCGGCCAUCUGGCGUGUGGCUGUUCCCACCUCCAGCAAGCAGGAUGCAAAGAGCAUCAAAGCCAUACAGAGGCUUUUGGUGACUAAAUGAAACCAGGAAAGCUCAGAGGAGGGAAGUGAACAGUGCAAGAGGUUUGGGAUUGCACAACACAAAUGUGUGUGCACUGGCUAAGAACAGGAUCUGAGCAGGUCGUAUGAAGCAUGCACAGUACCAUAGCACUCCUUAUCACAAGAGCUUGGAAGCUUAAUAUUUAAUGGUUUAACUCCUUGUGGCUCAAGGGCAGGCAGACGUGCGUGGUGUUGCUUUCUGAGGCUCCCAAGGCAGAGAGCUGACUUUCCUGAGCAGUUAAGUCUGCUAGCUGAAAAAAUUAUCUGGUAAGAGAAACAUGCUAAAGGGGCUGAUUAUAAGGCAACACCUUUCUUCAUCCUAGGCUGCUUUCUCUACGUGUUCUUUCUCUAUAUCAGUCCUUGCAAAACCAGGUGAUACUCACGAUCUGUCACUGGCAGUUAAAGGACAGUAAGGCUGCAAGAACAGUAGAAUUGCAACAGACAUCAAUCUACAACAGCAAGAGGGAGCAUGGGAGUGAACAGAAAGGCCAAGGUUUGGAAGAACAACAUGGAACACGGGAAAAUCGCUAGACUUCAAGGAAAAGGCAGGAAGCCGAGUUCAUUGCCCUGCAAUUGCCAGCUCCGAGCAAGAGACAUUUCGACUAGCUGCUGCACACCAGCUAACAUACCAAAAGCCACAAAACACCCCCACAAACUUGGAACAACUGAUCAAAAGCCACAAACUGCCAGUACCACAGGAGAAGAGCAGGACCUUGGGCCUGCAAUAACUGGCAAUUUAAGAUGAAAUGCUAAAGCAAACAUUGAUUAGCACCCAUGUCUCUUGCAAGAGAGAAGAGGGGGAAAAAAAACAAAAACAAAUUAUCCCUUCUGUUUUGCUGUGGGAGAUGAGGGUCAGAUCCUUUCCCAGUGCCAAAUCUGGCAAUCGCCUUAAUCGCUAAACAAGCAGCCGUGCCCUUUAUUCCAGCACCCUUCACUUACUGCCCCAUCUCUUUGUUGUAGUCAGUCUCUGAUGCCUCAUGAGAUUAACAAAUGAACGGCUAAAUCAAUACAGUCUUCUUGAUCUCUGCUGGCCACAAACAACCCUGGACUAUGGGCUGUGAACAUAACUUUUGUCUGAAAGAAGUAUCAGAGUGUCAGAGACUCCCCAGAGAGAAGCCCAGCACCCCAACCCCUGGGACAUCUCAGUCCUGGCUGUCCAAAAAUUCACAAACACACAUGGGGGAACAGUUCAGCUGUGCAUUGGGAAAGGGUCUUCCCUUCCUACAGUUUCCUUAUUUUCUCCUCGAGUAUCCUAUCAGCUCCAGCCUUGAUCCUCCCUGAAAUCCAGGCACUGCAGGAAUAUUUUCACAUUCUUCCUGACAGGCUGGGAAAUAACCUUAGCCUAUAGACUCAACUUGGGGGCCAACCUGCAAGCAUCGGUCCUCUUCGAAGAGGACCUCAGGCUGCUGAGUUCCCGUCAGUAGGGAACCUCACCAGACUCCCUCUGAAGCAGAGAAGUGUGUGUACGAGAAUGAAAGUAAAUUAGGUCUGAACAAGAUUAACAGGGAUUUAACUGAACUAUGUGAACUGGAACUCCAGUCACGAGCUACUUAUUAGCCUGUCUCAAGGGACUGUGCUGCUUGCACUGGAGGAGCACAAAGAUGCAUUGUGAGCCUGAGACACAGCUCAAGGGGAUGGCGACAGCCACAGCUGAAGAUGAGCAUGGCCAGAGAGGGAGAUCUGCUUAAAUAUGAUCAAAAACAACCCCCAAAAAUCUGAACUCAGCCAUGUUUUUUCAGAGCAGAGGUUUGGCCUGCUGAGAGAAAGGAACUCCCUACUAUACAUUAGCAGAGGAAACCCACCUCCCAGCCCAGCUUCAGGGCUUGGGAUCCCAGACCAACUGGUACUGCCUAUUGGCUAGUAUCUGGAGGCUGGCGUUUGAAAACCUUCCCUUCAACAGAAGUGACUUAACGAGGUCUGCAGCUCCCUUUGGGAUGUUAAUAACAAAACAGCCUCGAGAAAAGUACUUGGGAAUUAAGGGAGUUACCACACAAGUCCUUCUCUCCACUUGGUUUUCUGCUGCGGGAACCAAGUGACGCUUGCCAGAGCUUGGCUAGCCCCCUUAGCCUUUUCCUAGCUGAAGAACUGGCACCAGACAGCUCCACGCUCCGGCCACGUACACAUGAGCUACUCAUACACCAAGGGGCUACAGAAAAUCCCUGUUAUCCAUCUACUGAAACACCAUCUAAUACCCUGCUAGUAUUAUUACCAAAUGCUGCCUUUAUUAUUACUACCUUCCCAGGGAUUCUUGGAAUCAAAAUCUCUCAGGGGAGGUGAAUUAAUUUAGUCACAGCACCAUUUCCUCCUUCCAGGAAGGUGGAGGUGUAUUGGAAGAUAGUUUGCUACUUCAAAGUCCAACACAAAUAUGCACAUGCCUGACUGUUAACUAACCAAUUUCUCACAGAUUAAGGGAUCUGAAAGGCUUUCUCUUAAUGGAUCAUUUUUAUGAAUAAGGUUAUUUAUGCCCCUUCCUAUGUUCCACAGUUCUGGCAGGUUUCACAAUGAAUGCAUAGAAAGAGGCAGCACAAUUUUAAAAAGAGGUUUUUUUUUUUUUUUUAAACAAAGAGGUUGCAGUUGUAUUUAUUACACAUUUCAAGAGAAAAUAAAAUACAUGGGAUACUGGUCAUCUCUAAAAAGAUACUGCAAAUUCAGCUAAUGAGAGCAUUGAAGUAGAUAUCAAGGUGUUAGGAACAGACUGAAAAUUUAUCUCAACCCCUGCCCCCAACAAAAACAAACCCCAAUAGCCACAAUUUCUAUUUAACAAUGAGUAACUAAGCCUCUAAAUAGCUAUAACACAAUGCUGCUGUAGUAGCCUGCCAUUUCAGGGUAACAACCAUACAGUGCUCUUCACUAACUAUUUGUUGGCCGUGGAAGCAUUUUAGGUAAAAUGUAUGCUACUCUUUCAAUAUUUGAAAUUCUGUUAGAACAAAGCAUUAAAACCCACCUUGAGGUCACCUGUAGAAAGCCAGAGUUGUUAGAUGAAACAACUACAUGAUCAACUAUCCACAUUUAACAAAAUGGAACAAAUGAUCUACAGUACCUAUCCAGGACAGUGACAAGGCUUUUCUUUCACCUGCAGACUGCAGGCAGGAACAUGGGUCCUAAAGGGCAACUCAGAACAGUAUUGUUCUUUGUUAUUUGUGUGGCAAGUUUUUAUAAUGUUUCUUUACACUUAGAAUACAUAGUAACCUUACAGUGCUUGUGUCUUUCGUGUUUCCUUCUGUACUGCUAGAAUUGCCUUUAUGUAGCCGUGGAGAACAGACAAGGCACUGUUUACUCCAAAGGCCUGCUGAAGAGGGGAAGGUAUGACUGUUCACAGAUGGGGAGUGGGACCAGGCGUAGGCCAGGUAGUCUCUCCCUGCCUGUGGACACACACCCCAGCUUGUGCAGGAUAUGAUAACAAUGCCUUUGUCACCACCUCCGCUAUUAUCUGCUACCAACCACUUGCGGCCUAAACUAAUGUCAAGAGCCUGACCCACACCAAAGCUGCCUCAUAAAUCAAGUGAAAAGGGGAAUUAAUAUCUACAACUACAUGCUGAUCAGGCAUGAGAACCCAUGAUGGGGGCCCUCCACUAUUUAGUUCUCUAAAUCUGAAGGGUGGAAACCUUUGUCACAAGUUUUCAUUAAUUUCUUUUCCCUUCCCUUUUGAAAACCCAGUCAGCGGGUUGAGCCCAGAGGAGUGUGUCAGAGUGACAUAGGUCCUGGCUACUGAUAAGGAUGCCAAGAAACCUAAUCACAAUAGACAUGCGCCUUAGAAGCAUAUAAAAUGUGACAGUAACAACAGCUCUUUGGAGCUCCCUCUCAGCUGGUCUGGGACGCCCCCCUUAUUGCGUCCUGCACACUUGAGACCCUCGCCCGACGUGGAACAGGUUGUAUUACCUCUGCUUGCUCUGUAUGUAGUGUAGUGUGUUAUUUUUUUUUACCCUGUUAAAUAUGGAACUUGCUAUAUUGUUUAAACUCUCUUGCUUAAGGAUACUGGUGUACUUAAUAAAUAUCUGAAACCUGAUAA